CGCCUCUUGAUAAUAAAUACGAGAGGUUGGGCCUGCCCGGUGAAUAACUAUUUAAACGGCCGCAGUGGAUAACUGUGCUAAGGUAGCGUAAUAAAUUGUCUCUUAAUUGGAGAAGGGUAUGAAUGGUUUGACGUGGUAGUUUCUGUCUCAAUGGUAAUAUUAUGAAGUUUUCUUUUGAGUUAAAAGUCUCAAAUUUAGAUAAAAGACGAGAAGACCCUGUCGAGCUUAAUAAAAUUGUAAAGAGUUUUUAUAUAAUAAAUUUAACUGGGGCAGUUGAGAACCAAUAAAUAGUUCUUUGUUAUUUAAAGAUCCGGUUUUACCGAACAUAAGAAAAAGCUACCGCAGGGAUAACAGCGUUAUCCUCUCUGAGAGAACUAAUUGAAGAGGGGGUUUGCGACCUCGAUGUUGGAUUAAAGUUUCUUUUUGGUGCAGCAGCUAAAAUAGUAGGACUGUUCGUCCUUUAAAACUUU
rnacentral:rRNA from 2 species